rnacentral:rRNA from 1 species
CCUACGGGAGGCAGCAGUGAGGAAUAUUGGUCAAUGGACGAGAGUCUGAACCAGCCAAGUAGCGUGAAGGAUGACUGCCCUCUGGGUUGUAAACUUCUUUUAUAUGGGAAUAAAACGUUCCACGUGUGGGAUUUUGUAUGUACCAUAUGAAUAAGGAUCGGCUAACUCCGUGCCAGCAGCCGCGGUAAUACGGAGGAUCCGAGCGUUAUCCGGAUUUAUUGGGUUUAAAGGUAGCGUAGGGGGAUUGUUAAGUCAGUUGUGAAAGUUUGCGGCUCAACCGUAAAAUUGCAGUUGAAACUGGCAGUCUUGAGUACAGUAGAGGUGGGCGGAAUUCGUGGUGUAGCGGUGAAAUGCUUAGAUAUCACGAAGAACUCCGAUUGCGAAGGCAGUUCACUGGACUGCAACUGACACUGAGGCUCGAAAGUGUGGGUAUCAAACAGGAUUAGAUACCCGAGUAGUC